rnacentral:rRNA from 1 species
AUUGAACGCUGGCGGAAUGCUUUACACAUGCAAGUCGAACGGCAGCACGGACUUCGGUCUGGUGGCGAGUGGCGAACGGGUGAGUAAUAUAUCGGAACGUGCCCAGUCGUGGGGGAUAACGUAGUGAAAAUUACGCUAAUACCGCAUACGAUCUAAGGAUGAAAGCGGGGGAUCGCAAGGCCUCACGCAGAAAGAUGAGCCGACGCCCGAUUAGCUAGUUGGUGAGGUAAAGGCUCACCAAGGCGACGAUCGGUAGCUGGUCUGAGAGGAUGAUCAGCCACACUGGGACUGAGACACGGCCCAGACUCCUACGGGAGGCAGCAGUGGGGAAUAUUGGUCAAUGGGCGCAAGCCUGACGGAGCAAUGCCGCGUGAAGGAUGAAGGCCUAUGGGUUGUAAACUUCUUUUCUCAGAGAAGAAAUUUUGACGGUAUCUGAGGAAUAAGCAUCGGCUAACUCUGUGCCAGCAGCCGCGGU